CCAGACUCCUACGGGAGGCAGCAGUGGGGAAUAUUGGGCAAUGGGCGAAAGCCUGACCCAGCAAUGCCGCGUGAAUGAAGAAGGUCUUAGGAUUGUAAAAUUCUGUCCUAUGGGAAGAAACAAAUGACGGUACCAUAGGAGGAAGCCCCGGCUAACUACGUGCCAGCAGCCGCGGUAAUACGUAGGGGGCGAGCGUUGUCCGGAAUUACUGGGCGUAAAGAGAGCGUAGGCGGCACUACAAGUCUCAUGUGAAAUACCCGGGCUUAACUUGGGGGUUGCAUGGGAAACUGUAGAGCUUGAGUACAGGAGAGGCAAGCGGAAUUCCUAGUGUAGCGGUGAAAUGCAUAGAUAUUAGGAGGAACACCAGUGGCGAAGGCGGCUUGCUGGACUGAAACUGACGCUGAGGCUCGAAAGCGUGGGGAGCAAACAGGAUUAGAUACCCGAGUA
rnacentral:rRNA from 1 species